AGCGAACGCUGGCGGCAUGCCUAACACAUGCAAGUCGAGCGCUCCCAGCAAUGGGGGAGCGGCGGACGGGUGAGUAACGCGUAGGAACGUAUCCUGAGGUGGGGGAUAACCCUGGGAAACUAGGGCUAAUACCGCAUGAUGGCGAGAGCCCAAAGAUUUAUCGCCUUGGGAGCGGCCUGCGUCUGAUUAGCUUGUUGGUGGGGUAACGGCCUACCAAGGCGAUGAUCAGUAGCUGGUCUGAGAGGAUGAUCAGCCACACUGGGACUGAGACACGGCCCAGACUCCUACGGGAGGCAGCAGUGGGGAAUAUUGGACAAUGGGCGAAAGCCUGAUCCAGCAAUGCCGCGUGGAUGAAGAAGGUCUUCGGAUUGUAAAGUCCUUUCGGCGGGGACGAUGAUGACGGUACCCGCAGAAGAAGCCCGGCUAACUUCGUG
rnacentral:rRNA from 1 species